UUUUGUGGAGGGUUCGAUUCUGGCUCAGGAUGAACGCUGGCGGCGUGCUUAACACAUGCAAGUCGAACGGGAUCCAUCGGGCUUUGCUUGGUGGUGAGAGUGGCGAACGGGUGAGUAAUGCGUGACCGACCUGCCCCAUACACCGGAAUAGCUCCUGGAAACGGGUGGUAAUGCCGGAUGCUCCGACUCCUCGCAUGGGGUGUCGGGAAAGAUUUCAUCGGUAUGGGAUGGGGUCGCGUCCUAUCAGGUAGUCGGCGGGGUAACGGCCCACCGAGCCUACGACGGGUAGCCGGCCUGAGAGGGCGACCGGCCACAUUGGGACUGAGAUACGGCCCAGACUCCUACGGGAGGCAGCAGUGGGGAAUAUUGCACAAUGGGCGCAAGCCUGAUGCAGCGACGCCGCGUGCGGGAUGACGGCCUUCGGGUUGUAAACCGCUUUUGAUCGGGAGCAAGCCUUCGGGUGAGUGUACCUUUCGAAUAAGCACCGGCUAACUACGUGCCAGCAGCCGCGGUAAUACGUAGGGUGCAAGCGUUAUCCGGAAUUAUUGGGCGUAAAGGGCUCGUAGGCGGUUCGUCGCGUCCGGUGUGAAAGUCCAUCGCUUAACGGUGGAUCUGCGCCGGGUACGGGCGGGCUGGAGUGCGGUAGGGGAGACUGGAAUUCCCGGUGUAACGGUGGAAUGUGUAGAUAUCGGGAAGAACACCAAUGGCGAAGGCAGGUCUCUGGGCCGUUACUGACGCUGAGGAGCGAAAGCGUGGGGAGCGAACAGGAUUAGAUACCCUGGUAGUCCACGCCGUAAACGGUGGAUGCUGGAUGUGGGGCCCGUUCCACGGGUUCCGUGUCGGAGCUAACGCGUUAAGCAUCCCGCCUGGGGAGUACGGCCGCAAGGCUAAAACUCAAAGAAAUUGACGGGGGCCCGCACAAGCGGCGGAGCAUGCGGAUUAAUUCGAUGCAACGCGAAGAACCUUACCUGGGCUUGACAUGUUCCCGACAGCCGUAGAGAUAUGGCCUCCCUUCGGGGCGGGUUCACAGGUGGUGCAUGGUCGUCGUCAGCUCGUGUCGUGAGAUGUUGGGUUAAGUCCCGCAACGAGCGCAACCCUCGCCCUGUGUUGCCAGCACGUCAUGGUGGGAACUCACGGGGGACCGCCGGGGUCAACUCGGAGGAAGGUGGGGAUGACGUCAGAUCAUCAUGCCCCUUACGUCCAGGGCUUCACGCAUGCUACAAUGGCCGGUACAACGGGAUGCGACACGGCGACGUGGAGCGGAUCCCUGAAAACCGGUCUCAGUUCGGAUUGGAGUCUGCAACCCGACUCCAUGAAGGCGGAGUCGCUAGUAAUCGCGGAUCAGCAACGCCGCGGUGAAUGCGUUCCCGGGCCUUGUACACACCGCCCGUCAAGUCAUGAAAGUGGGUAGCACCCGAAGCCGGUGGCCUAACCCUUUGUGGAUGGAGCCGUCUAAGGUGAGACUCGUGAUUGGGACUAAGUCGUAACAAGGUAGCCGUACCGGAAGGUGCGGCUGGAUCACCUCCUUUCUACGGAG
rnacentral:rRNA from 1 species